AGUGAGGAAUAUUGGUCAAUGGGCGCAAGCCUGAACCAGCCAUGCCGCGUGCAGGAUGACGGUCCUAUGGAUUGUAAACUGCUUUUGUACAGGAAGAAACACUCCCUCGUGAGGGAACUUGACGGUACUGUAAGAAUAAGGAUCGGCUAACUCCGUGCCAGCAGCCGCGGUAAUACGGAGGAUCCAAGCGUUAUCCGGAAUCAUUGGGUUUAAAGGGUCCGUAGGCGGUUUUAUAAGUCAGUGGUGAAAUCUGGUCGCUCAACGAUCAAACGGCCAUUGAUACUGUAGAACUUGAAUUACUUGGAAGUAACUAGAAUAUGUAGUGUAGCGGUGAAAUGCUUAGAGAUUACAUGGAAUACCAAUUGCGAAGGCAGGUUACUACGAGUAUAUUGACGCUGAUGGACGAAAGCGUGGGGAGCGAA
rnacentral:rRNA from 1 species